GGAGGGUCCUGGCAGGGUGUCCAGGCUGAGCUGGGGUGCCUGGGUAGCAAGCGGGUUCCCCGUGGGACAUAGGCCCAGCUACCCACACGGAGCCCGGACAACACUCUGGCCCGCGGGGCGCCAGGGAGGCCGCUCCAAGUUUCUGGCUGGGCGGGGCUGACAGCUCCUCGGGGCAGGGACCUUUCAGAUCUAGGUGUGAGGGACCCCGUGAUGGGGUUUUACCGCUCAGGGAUUGAAAUCAAGUGGUUCGAGAACAGGCAGGAGCAGACGGCCGGGGUGGUGUCCACGGAGCUGCUCCACAACAGAGACUGGACCUUCCAGAUCCUGGUGAUGCUGGCGAUGACCCCCCGGCGCUGGGACGUCUACACCUGCCAGGUGGAGCACAUCAGCCUGCGGGGCCCCCUCACCGUGCACUGCCCAGGUCCAGGAAGUGCGGAGCCAAUCCCAGCCCCUGGCUUCCCAUACAUCUGAGUCAGACCGUUCAAACUCUGAGCUACAGCUGUGGCCUCCUGGCCUCCCCUCCACUUCCCCUCUCCUGGAACGUCAGGUUGUUACAGACACAGCUGAAGUGUUCGCAAAUCAGUCAGUUCCUCUCUAGUCAUGGAACAAAUACACUUCCCCUUUGAAAAAUAUGGAGACCAAACUCACUUGAGAAACGCACCAGAAACUGAUGAACUCUUGACCCUGAAUUUUGAGACUUAUUUAUGCUACCCUCUAACCUGCUUCCCUUUUUGCUAAACGUGAGAAACAACGUGCAAUAACUUGCAGGUCAAACCCUGAGUGGAUGAUGCUGAUACCAGAGAAAUUCCCCAGACUCUAUUGUGUAUCCCUGGCUUCCAUUUUAAUUAAGCAAGAGUCAGGCCCUCAUUCGAGUCUGCAGAUCCCAUAGCACUAAAAAAUCAAAUUGGCGGGAAAACCAAAGUAGGGGUAAGGUCAGCAGGUCAUAACUCUGAGGUAAACACGGCUGCAGGCUAAAAUUAGAACGGACCGUUUGGAAUGUGGGCCGUGGUCAUGCGCAAGAAAGUCCUGACAGGUCGGUAUAAAAGUCAGUGUGUCAGCAGACAGCCAAGGGGUAGGUGGAGAGCACGUGGACAGUGAGGAGAAGGAGAGAAAAGCAGAGAGAAGCUUCCCUGAGCGGUCCAUGCGUCCGACAGCCGAAUGGAGAGCUGACGGAGCAGCAGGAGAGUGUCCUGGUCCCGUCCAGCAGCAGAGGGAGAAGACGCAGAAACCCAAGGAGAACACUGCAGGGGCGAGAGCGAACGCAGGAGAAACAAGCAGCAAGGGAGUCAAUUGGCCGUAGCUCCCUCCAAGUCAAUGGGGCCAGAUCCCUGCUGGGAUCAGUCGGCCGUAGCGCUUCUGACUUCCAUGGAACGGAUUUCCAGAAACUCAGUACCUGGCCCAACUGAGCUCAGUGGAGGUGCGGCCGCUUGACACCGGCUGGGAUCUGGCCCGGAGGUUUUCCCUUAGCUUAUUUAAAAACAGUUCUAUCCAGUCAAACAUUUCUGGAGCACAAGAGCUUGUGAUAAAAUCUUAUUUUAAUAUGUUUUAAAUAAAGCAUUUUUAAUGAAAACUC